rnacentral:misc_RNA from 1 species
GAUGAAGAACGCAGUGAAAUGCGAUACGUAAUGUGAAUUGCAGAAUUCAGUGAAUCAUCGAAUCUUUGAACGCACAUUGCGCCCGCCAGUAUUCUGGCGGGCAUGCCUGUUCGAGCGUCAUUUCAACCCUCAAGCCCCCGGGCUUGGUGUUGGGGAUCGGCGUGCCCUCGCGGCGCGCCGUCCCCUAAAUCUAGUGGCGGUCUCGCUGUAGCUUCCUCUGCGUAGUAGCAACACUCGCACUGGAUCGCAGCGCGGCCACGCCGUUAAACCCCCCACUUCUGAAAGUUUGACCUCGGAUCAGGUAGGAAUACCCGCUGAACUUAAGCAUAUCAAUAAGCGGAGGA